GUCCCAAUGAGGAAGAACAACCUUCUUGAUAGGAAGUGCCGUAUGACUCAUUAAACAGCAACUGUGGCAACUAGUUACUUCCACUCAUCUUCGUUUGCUCCAUUCUUUUCAUAUUCUUUAAGAAUUGAACUGUUGUGGAUGUUCAAAUGAAUGGUUUUGUGGAAUGACUUGAACUCGUGACAGUUGUGUGUGUGAUUUUAAACGGUUCUCUGAGGGUU